ensembl:misc_RNA Y_RNA Y RNA
GGCUGGUCUGAGUGUGUGGUGUUUACAACUAAUUAAUCACAACCAGUUACAGAUUUCCUUGUCCCUUCUCCACUCCCACUGCUUCACUUGAUUAGAGAG